GACCGCCUGGGGAGUACGGCCGCAAGGUUAAAACUCAAAUGAAUUGACGGGGGCCCGCACAAGCGGUGGAGCAUGUGGUUUAAUUCGAUGCAACGCGAAGAACCUUACCUACUCUUGACAUCCAGAGAACUUUCCAGAGAUGGAUUGGUGCCUUCGGGAACUCUGAGACAGGUGCUGCAUGGCUGUCGUCAGCUCGUGUUGUGAAAUGUUGGGUUAAGUCCCGCAACGAGCGCAACCCUUAUCCUUUGUUGCCAGCGGUUAGGCCGGGAACUCAAAGGAGACUGCCAGUGAUAAACUGGAGGAAGGUGGGGAUGACGUCAAGUCAUCAUGGCCCUUACGAGUAGGGCUACACACGUGCUACAAUGGCGCAUACAAAGAGAAGCGACCUCGCGAGAGCAAGCGGACCUCAUAAAGUGCGUCGUAGUCCGGAUUGGAGUCUGCAACUCGACUCCAUGAAGUCGGAAUCGCUAGUAAUCGUGGAUCAGAAUGCCACGGUGAAUACGUUCCCGGGCCUUGUACACACCGCCCGUCACACCAUGGGAGUGGGUUGCAAAAGAAGUAGGUAGCUUAACCUUCGGGAGGGCGCUUACCACUUUGUGAUUCAUGACUGGGGUGAAGUCGUA
rnacentral:rRNA from 1 species